rnacentral:lncRNA from 10 species
GAGAGGCUCACACUCAGAUGCAGGACUCUGUUGUGGUCUGAGGCAACUCUUCUAGGUUGGGAAAGCCUUUCCUGCCCAGCCGACAGUAAACCAUGCUAUUUGGCUUAAGUUAUAUCUAUGGUUUCCCCACAUGCAUUAGAACUGUGGGGAACACCCUCUAUGUAUAUGCUUGGACAUGCUCAUCUGUAGCAAUAGGGAAAGAAGGGAUUCCCCAGGGAACCUCUUUUGCUUGGCCACAUGAUAAACUCCUCUAAAGCCACAGAGUCAGGAAUAGGAGGUGCCGUGAUGUCCAAACACAGAAGCACAUGAUCUGAUUUCCAUUGUGAUAAUAUGAGGAACUGCCAGCGCCCUUUUUUUAAAACAACAAAGAGACCUAACCCACAAUACGAAUAGAUUUACCAGAUUUUGGUUUUAGGAAACAAUGGAUAUGAGGGACUCAUUUCUUUGGAAUCUGCUUCUUCUACAGCUUGGUGUUUCGGGGGGACCCAAACUGGGGCCUCCCACAAGGCCAACCGAAGUCUGAGGCAAAACCUUGCUGGAUUUCCUUACUAAGACCUUUUCUCUAAGAAUUUCAAAUUUGUUUUGAGAGAGUUAAGGAGUUAGCACUUCCCUGACAACACUUAAGAAGAAAAGGGCUUCCAUUUCUUCUGGUAGUAGAAGAUCUGAGCCCUGUGGCCUGUUCUGUGUCCUUGGUGGUGGAUUGAUUCCUGCCCCAGGGUUCACUGACAGCUGAAAAUGUGAAGGGACGCUGAGGAACAGGGAGUGAUGCAGUUAGAGGGAGCUCUCUAAAGAACUUGGUAACCCAGAAAUUCUUCAUGUGUAAAAAUGCCUACCCAUCCCAAAAAGCCGAUAAGAAGGAGCAGGCAAAAUAACAGAGUCUCUAAUAUUGCUAAAGGAAUAAAAAUACUUUUUUUUCACAUCAAUUUCAUCUUAAUUACAAAGAUGCAUGAAUGUGAUGACGUAGCUGUCACUAUCGUGUUUCCUGGCACACAGCUAUGUUAUUUUGUUUCCUUACAGGCUUGUAGCAAAGGAAAAAACAUUAAAAAAAUUUUAAGUCUCAAGGGGAAAAAAGACACAAGUGGAAGGAACAUUUUUUUCUUCAGACCAGUUCACACUUGCAUUUGAAAAAGUAGCACAUCUCUUAACAUAUUUAUCUUAGGAAGCUUCCACCCCGCCCAGGAGAAAUGCUAGAAAUUAUGGCUAGUUACUUUGUGUUUAUCUUGGGUAUUAGCUCUUGAAAGAAGAGAAAAUUAUAAUGGAAGUACCUGUCUAUUAUUAAUUACUGAGCUUCAGAAAUCCUGUCACAUGACUUCUAGUGUGUCUUUCUAAAGGAAAUAAUGACCAUGGCCUUCCCUUCCUUACUUUGCCUUUAAGAAUGAAAAUUCUGGUGUAGCUUUUAUAUGAAUUCUGGGGAAUUUGAUCAUGACUAUAGCAGUUCCUUCACUCCUGUUCCCACCACCCUCUUUCUCACCAACUAAAGGUGAUUUUCUCCAUCUCCUGCCAUCAAGGACAUUGGCAGACUGGGCAAAGUGGUGCACAGGAGUUUGAGGCUGCAGUGAGCUAUGAUUACACCACCGCACUCCAGCCUGGGCCACCGAGAAAGACCCUGUCUCUAAAUAAAUAGAACAUCGACGCUGGUGACUCCUUCAUAUCUAGGAAAAAGAGAUGUUCUGGCAUUUAUUCACUUUAUUUGGCAUGUAUUCAUUUAGUGCCUGGUAUUUUGCUAGGCACUGGGGAUAAAAGAGUGACCAA